rnacentral:lncRNA from 1 species
GGAGACUCUGCAGCGGGAGAUGGACGAGAGCCAGGUGCCGGAGAUGUACGGCGGGAAGCUGCCCACUGUCCCCCUCACCGACGACUAGCUAGCUACUCCCUCCGUUCCGAAUUACUUGUCUUGGAUUUGUCUAGAUACGGAGGUAUCUAGACUCAUUUUAGUGCUAGAUACCUCCGUAUCUAGACAAAUCCAAGACAAGUAAUUCGGAACGAAGGGAGUACAACGUACGAUCGAUCCAUGUACCUAGUACCGAGACAAACAAGGGCUCCUGUGGAUGUAAUUGGGGGAGAGAUGCGCUGCUAGCUCGCACCGUCACUGUCUGUUUUGUAGGAUAAUUUAUGAUCAAAUUCGGUAUUUUAGAAUGAAGGCUCGAGACGAAGCGCUUUCGAAUUAACGAAGUCAUUGACCGUUCGAACAGGCUCUCGCCCCGUUUUUUAUGUAAAGCAAAAACACUACGGAUACAUGACCGAACGAUACAAUGCAGUGAGGAAGUCCUCUGAGAGA